GGACGGGUCCCGUGCAAUGGCGCUGCGUGAACCUUGUCAGGUCCGGAAGGAAGCAGCAAUAAGCGCUCUGCGGCAUGUGCCGCGGGGUUGCCUGGCCUGA
rnacentral:SRP_RNA from 1 species